rnacentral:rRNA from 1 species
UAGAGUUUGAUCCUGGCUCAGAACGAACGCUGGCGGCGUGGAUAAGACAUGCAAGUCGAACGAGAGAAUUGCUAGCUUGCUAAUAAUUCUCUAGUGGCGCACGGGUGAGUAACACGUGAGUAACCUGCCCCCGAGAGCGGGAUAGCCCUGGGAAACUGGGAUUAAUACCGCAUAGUAUCGAAAGAUUAAAGCAGCAAUGCGCUUGGGGAUGGGCUCGCGGCCUAUUAGUUAGUUGGUGAGGUAACGGCUCACCAAGGCGAUGACGGGUAGCCGGUCUGAGAGGAUGUCCGGCCACACUGGAACUGAGACACGGUCCAGACACCUACGGGUGGCAGCAGUCGAGAAUCAUUCACAAUGGGGGAAACCCUGAUGGUGCGACGCCGCGUGGGGGAAUGAAGGUCUUCGGAUUGUAAACCCCUGUCAUGUGGGAGCAAAUUAAAAAGAUAGUACCACAAGAGGAAGGGACGGCUAACUCUGUGCCAGCAGCCGCGGUAAUACAGAGGUCUCAAGCGUUGUUCGGAAUCACUGGGCGUAAAGCGUGCGUAGGCUGUUUCGUAAGUCGUGUGUGAAAGGCGCGGGCUCAACCCGCGGACGGCACAUGAUACUGCGAGACUAGAGUAAUGGAGGGGGAACCGGAAUUCUCGGUGUAGCAGUGAAAUGCGUAGAUAUCGAGAGGAACACUCGUGGCGAAGGCGGGUUCCUGGACAUUAACUGACGCUGAGGCACGAAGGCCAGGGGAGCGAAAGGGAUUAGAUACCCCUGUAGUCCUGGCAGUAAACGGUGCACGGCUUGGUGUGCGGGGAAUCGACCCCCUGCGUGCCGGAGCUAACGCGUUAAGCGUGCCGCCUGGGGAGUACGGUCGCAAGAUUAAAACUCAAAGAAAUUGACGGGGACCCGCACAAGCGGUGGAGUAUGUGGCUUAAUUCGAUGCAACGCGAAGAACCUUACCUGGGCUUGACAUGUAAUGAACAACAUGUGAAAGCAUGCGACUCUUCGGAGGCGUUACACAGGUGCUGCAUGGCCGUCGUCAGCUCGUGUCGUGAGAUGUUUGGUUAAGUCCAGCAACGAGCGCAACCCCUGUUGCCAGUUACCAGCACGUGAAGGUGGGGACUCUGGCGAGACUGCCCAGAUCAACUGGGAGGAAGGUGGGGACGACGUCAGGUCAGUAUGGCCCUUAUGCCCAGGGCUGCACACGUACUACAAUGCCCAGUACAGAGGGGGCCGAAGCCGCGAGGCGGAGGAAAUCCUAAAAACUGGGCCCAGUUCGGACUGUAGGCUGCAACCCGCCUACACGAAGCCGGAAUCGCUAGUAAUGGCGCAUCAGCUACGGCGCCGUGAAUACGUUCCCGGGUCUUGCACACACCGCCCGUCA